rnacentral:rRNA from 1 species
UACGUAGGUGGCAAGCGUUGUCCGGAUUUACUGGGCGUAAAGAGCGCGCAGGCGGUCGUUCAAGUCGCGUGUGAAAGCCCCCGGCUCAACUGGGGAGGGUCACGCGAUACUGAUCGACUCGAAGGCAGGAGAGGGUAGUGGAAUUCCCGGUGUAGUGGUGAAAUGCGUAGAGAUCGGGAGGAACACCAGAGGCGAAGGCGGCGACCUGGACAGUUACUGACACUCAACUACAAAAGCGUGGGGAGCAAACAGG